AACGUAGGAGACAAACGUUAUCCGGAGUUACUGGGCGUAAAGGGCGUGUAGGCGGUUUGUUAAGUCUGGCGUGAAAGCUCUCGGCUAAACCGGGAGAGGUCGUUGGAUACUGGCAAACUUGAGGACGGUAGAGGCGUGUGGAAUUCCGGGUGUAGUGGUGAAAUGCGUAGAGAUCCGGAGGAACACCAGUGGCGAAGGCGGGUUGCUGGGCUGACACUGACGCUGAGGCGCGAAAGCUAGGGGAGCGAACGGG
rnacentral:rRNA from 1 species